rnacentral:rRNA from 1 species
GACGAACGCUGGCGGCGUGCUUAACACAUGCAAGUCGAACGGAAAGGCCCUGCUUUUGUGGAGUGCUCGAGUGGCGAACGGGUGAGUAACACGUGAGUAACCUGCCCUUGACUUUGGGAUAACUUCAGGAAACUGGGGCUAAUACCGGAUAGGAGCUCCUGCUGCAUGGUGGGGGUUGGAAAGUUUCGGCGGUUGGGGAUGGACUCGCGGCUUAUCAGCUUGUUGGUGGGGUAGUGGCUUACCAAGGCUUUGACGGGUAGCCGGCCUGAGAGGGUGACCGGCCACAUUGGGACUGAGAUACGGCCCAGACUCCUACGGGAGGCAGCAGUGGGGAAUAUUGCACAAUGGGCGGAAGCCUGAUGCAGCAACGCCGCGUGCGGGAUGACGGCCUUCGGGUUGUAAACCGCUUUCGCCUGUGACGAAGCGUGAGUGACGGUAAUGGGUAAAGAAGCAUCGGCUAACUACGUG